rnacentral:rRNA from 1 species
GACGAACGCUGGCGGCGUGCUUAACACAUGCAAGUCGAACGGAAAGGCCCUGCUUGCAGGGUACUCGAGUGGCGAACGGGUGAGUAACACGUGGGUGAUCUGCCCUGCACUUCGGGAUAAGCCUGGGAAACUGGGUCUAAUACCGGAUAGGAGCCAUUUUUAGUGUGAUGGUUGGAAAGUUUUUUCGGUGUAGGAUGAGCUCGCGGCCUACCAGCUUGUUGGUGGGGUAAUGGCCUACCAAGGCGGCGACGGGUAGCCGGCCUUGGAGGGUGGACGGCCACAUUGGGACUGAGAUACGGCCCAGACUCCUACGGGAGGCAGCAGUGGGGAAUAUUGCACCAUGGGCGCAAGGCUGAUGCAGCGACGCCGCGUGGGGGAUGACGGCCUUCGGGUUGUAAACUCCUUUCGCUAGGGACGAAGCUUUUUGUGACGGUACCUAGAUAAGAAGCACCGGCUAACUACGUG